UGAUGGGAUAACAGUUGGAAACGACUGCUAAUACCGAAUACGCUCAUGAUGAACUUUGUGAGGAAAGGUGGCCUCUGCUUGCAAGCUAUCGCAUAGAGAUGAGUCCGCGUCCCAUUAGCUAGUUGGUGGGGUAACGGCCUACCAAGGCAACGAUGGGUAGCCGAUCUGAGAGGAUGAUCGGCCACACUGGAACUGAAACACGGUCCAG
rnacentral:rRNA from 1 species